UACAGAGGGUGCAAGCGUUGUUCGGAAUUAUUGGGCGUAAAGCGCGUGUAGGCGGCUUUGCAAGUCGGGUGUGAAAGCCCUCAGCUCAACUGAGGAAGUGCGCCCGAAACUGCAGAGCUUGAGUGCCGGGAGAGGGUGGCGGAAUUCCCCAAGUAGAGGUGAAAAUUCGUAGAUAUGGGGGAGGAACACCGGUGGCGAAGGCGGCCGCCUGGGACGGUAACUUGGACGGCCAUGG
rnacentral:rRNA from 1 species